UUAUCGGAGAGUUUGAUCCUGGCUCAGGACGAACGCUGGCGGCGUGCCUAAUACAUGCAAGUCGAGCGGACAGAUGGGAGCUUGCUCCCUGAUGUUAGCGGCGGACGGGUGAGUAACACGUGGGUAACCUGCCUGUAAGACUGGGAUAACUCCGGGAAACCGGGGCUAAUACCGGAUGGUUGUUUGAACCGCAUGGUUCAAACAUAAAAGGUGGCUUCGGCUACCACUUACAGAUGGACCCGCGGCGCAUUAGCUAGUUGGUGAGGUAACGGCUCACCAAGGCGACGAUGCGUAGCCGACCUGAGAGGGUGAUCGACCACACUGGGACUGAGACACGACCAGACUCCUACGGGAGGCAGCAGUAGGGAAUCUUCCGCAAUGGACGAAAGUCUGACGGAGCAACGCCGCGUGAGUGAUGAAGGUUUUCGGAUCGUAAAGCUCUGUUGUUAGGGAAGAACAAGUACCGUUCGAAUAGGGCGGUACCUUGACGGUACCUAACCAGAAAGCCACGGCUAACUACGUGCCAGCAGCCGCGGUAAUACGUAGGUGGCAAGCGUUGUCCGGAAUUAUUGGGCGUAAAGGGCUCGCAGGCGGUUUCUUAAGUCUGAUGUGAAAGCCCCCGGCUCAACCGGGGAGGGUCAUUGGAAACUGGGGAACUUGAGUGCAGAAGAGGAGAGUGGAAUUCCACGUGUAGCGGUGAAAUGCGUAGAGAUGUGGAGGAACACCAGUGGCGAAGGCGACUCUCUGGUCUGUAACUGACGCUGAGGAGCGAAAGCGUGGGGAGCGAACAGGAUUAGAUACCCUGGUAGUCCACGCCGUAAACGAUGAGUGCUAAGUGUUAGGGGGUUUCCGCCCCUUAGUGCUGCAGCUAACGCAUUAAGCACUCCGCCUGGGGAGUACGGUCGCAAGACUGAAACUCAAAGGAAUUGACGGGGGCCGCACAAGCGGUGGAGCAUGUGGUUUAAUUCGAAGCAACGCGAAGAACCUUACCAGGUCUUGACAUCCUCUGACAAUCCUAGAGAUAGGACGUCCCCUUCGGGGGCAGAGUGACAGGUGGUGCAUGGUUGUCGUCAGCUCGUGUCGUGAGAUGUUGGGUUAAGUCCCGCAACGAGCGCAACCCUUGAUCUUAGUUGCCAGCAUUCAGUUGGGCACUCUAAGGUGACUGCCGGUGACAAACCGGAGGAAGGUGGGGAUGACGUCAAAUCAUCAUGCCCCUUAUGACCUGGGCUACACACGUGCUACAAUGGACAGAACAAAGGGCAGCGAAACCGCGAGGUUAAGCCAAUCCCACAAAUCUGUUCUCAGUUCGGAUCGCAGUCUGCAACUCGACUGCGUGAAGCUGGAAUCGCUAGUAAUCGCGGAUCAGCAUGCCGCGGUGAAUACGUUCCCGAGCCUUGUACACACCGCCCGUCACACCACGAGAGUUUGUAACACCCGAAGUCGGUGAGGUAACCUUUUAGGAGCCAGCCGCCGAAGGUGGGACAGAUGAUUGGGGUGAAGUCGUAACAAGGUAGCCGUAUCGGAAGGUGCGGCUGGAUCACCUCCUUU
rnacentral:rRNA from 1 species